CUGAAGAUGAGACUGGGGGUUUUAUAAAUAUUCAGAGCCCCUGGAAGUGCACGAGUGCACAAGGGAUUGUCGUGAGAGCAGAGGAUGUCGGCACCUCAGGCUGCAGUUAUUGCUGAGCUGGGCUCUGGCACCAGCCAGCCACUCUGCUGCCGUAGGACAAGAGAUGCAGGACCAUAAUCCUCUACUGAAUGUGAUUUUAAAAACCAAGGGAAGCUAACAGAAGAUGAUUACAAAACCUGAAAUUGCUUUGACAGUAUGAGUGACAGUACGUAAUUUAUUUCUAAUCACUAUUAGAAGUUGGUUGAUUAAAUUUUUUUCCAUUAAAUAUUUCUGCAAAUGAAGGAUAUGUUCAAUUGUGCUUAAGCAUUAAUUGAAUUAGCAUUUAAAUAUACAUUCAUCUGCUGUUGUACUUUCUAAAGGUAGAACAUUUUUUCAGAAAUUAACGGAAUUUUUAAAAAGUCAAUCCAAAUCUUUUUCACAAGGUUUUGGUGUUGUUUUUGUUGUUGUUGUUGUUUGUUUGUUCUGGAUUUCUGAAUAAUUCUAAGAAUGGUACCUUUGUAUCACUUGAGAUUAUUCAGGUAGGUCAUCAACAUUAUUUUAAUGGCUGUAAGUGAGGAAAAUUAGACUAUGACUGUAUUAAUAAGGAACUCAACUUAGAAUCAUAGAAUCGCUAAGGUUGGAAAAGACCCACAGGAUCGUCCAGUCCAAACUUAGAAUAACUUAAUGCCAUUUGGAUUGCGCAAUAGUGAAUUAUGUUUCAGCUAUAAAAUGUAG
rnacentral:lncRNA from 1 species